rfam:Rattus norvegicus chromosome 2, whole genome shotgun sequence.
GGGGAUUUAGCUCAGUGGUAGAGCUCUUGCCUAGCAACCGCAAGGCCCUGGGUUCAGUCCCCA